rnacentral:lncRNA from 1 species
AUGGAAUGCAACAUAUUAUAAUAAUAGAAAACAGUUACGAGUAGAAAAUAACUGUAUAAGUAUAAAUUACAAUCAUCCAAAAUAGAGGGAAAAAUUAAAACGACAAAUAAUUAAAGUACAAAGGUCUAAGGUUUUGCAAAAUAUGAUAAGCUAAAAAGAAAUAAAACAACAUGAUCGCCUAAGCACUGGGUGCUGGAUCUUCCUCGGUCUCCAAUGCCUGCUCUAGAGGUACAUAAUCACCUACUGCUCACAUCCAAAGGAUUGGAUGAUCAUCGCAAGGGAGGAAGCAAACACACACAACAUACAAGUGCAAGGGUGAGUUAUUAUUUAAAACAAACAUAUUCAAUGCAUUUUCAAGAAACAGAGCAUACAAGCAACAACCAAUCAAACAUAAAUAAAUCCUAAUUGACCUAGACUCGUCCGGACUAGGAAUGAAUAUUGAUCUUGGGCAGGUUUUGCACUUGUGGUGGACUCUACUGCUUUGCAAAGCCAUUGCCGAGGGGUUUCACCCGACCACACACAAGGCGAGUCCGUUACCGCGGAAUAGACCUACGGUGGAAGCGUCUACCCUAGGACUUCCCACUACUAUCACCACCCGCAUCGAUCCUCUCUAUUUGAGAAUGAAAGACCGUCAGAGUAUUAGGGAUAACCUCCCUUGAAGGAGCCUCAAUAUUCAUUCAUACACUAAAGUGAUCUCACCUAGAGAUCUUAGAAUAAUUCUCAAAGUUCAUAAUCCAUAUCACCAAUCUUGUUUCACUUCACCAACCUCAUCCAAUCAAUCAUACCAUUUCAUUCAGGAGCAAAAUAAACAUAUAUAACUCUUACAGUACAUAUCUUCAAAGAAACAUCAUUUAUUAAUAUCCAUUUCUUUAUCAACUAUAAUUACCUAUACUUAAGUAAUUCAAACAGCCUUGAGACCCUCACCAAUGGUUUCGGAAGGGUCAAAAACCCCCAGAACGACCUAAAGAACGUCCAAAACGGACAUCUGAAACCCCAAAAACUACCAAAAACAAAUUCUGAAAAGUGCUGCUGCGUCCAGUGGCGCUCGAGCGGGAUUAGUGGCGCUGAGCGCCACACCAGUUGACAGCAAGUGCAGAUUUUUCAAACUCACACUCCUAAGUUUCGUUUUAGGCCUUUUGGUGGAUUUCUAGCACUCCUAACUUGAUCUAUAUGAUGAAUCUAACUUGCCUAAUCAACUUUAACACUUCCUAAACCAAUUCUCUAGUGAUUUCACAUAAAUCUACAUUCAAAUUACUCAAUUUCAUCAACACAUGUGCCCAAUUCUAAUUCUACCAGUUAAGCAAUGUUUUUACCACUUUUAAAACUUCUAACAAGUCAUAAUUGACUUAGUCAAACUGUCCCCACUGCCCACUUACACCCUAGACCUCAAUUACUCAAAAACACUCUCCCACUUCCUCUAAACUCACUCAAAACACUAGUUUUCCUCAACCUAAGGACUCAACUCCACUUCUACCAUUUAGAACCUCAUUUUAACCAAUUUUAUAGUUCUAACAAGUUAUAAUUAACUUGCCUAAGCUGCCUCAACAGUUCAAAAGAGUCCUAGACCUCUACCUCUCAAAUUCACUACUUCCCUUAUCUUCAAAUAACUCCAAUUUCACCCACAUAGAGACCAAAAACUCAAUCUUACCUCUUUGCACCUAUUUUUAACAUUUUAGUGACUCAAACAAGUCACAAUACACUUAGUGAAACUGUCCCAACAGUCCACAAACACAGCAAACCCCAUAUACUCAAAAUCACUACCUCACUUCCCUUAAAAUGGCUUAAAAGUUGCUCUAAAUGACUUGAUUUUCUUCCAAACACUACCACAACAGAUUUCGAUCAUCAUCACAGUCCCAAUCAUGCCUAAUUUAACAUACCAAGGGGUUCCAAAUAGUCCAAAAUCAUCAAUCAUCAAUUCUACACAACAUACCCAUUUUCAUACAUNAAUUUCAAACCAAUUCAACCAAUUUCAUGCUUCCAACAACAUACAACUUUAAGAUUUAUCAUACAUUCACAACAUACUAUAAAAAUGGAAAGAAAGCUAGCUCCCCUUACCUCUAGGGUGCACGGCCAACUCGAGGAAUGAUCCUAGACCAAGUACUUUGAACCCAAAGUGUGAGAAUCACCUAAAAUCAUCAAUUGAUGAUGGAGAACGAAUUUUAGCACCAAGUUGAAGUUAGAUUGUGGAAGGAACGAAAUGGGUUGCAUGAAAUAAGAAAUCUCAUGCUUUAAACCCUAGGGCAAGGGAGGAAAGAGGGCUUUCUUACCGGUUGGAUAGAACGGAAAAUCGAUCGGUAGAAACAUAGCUCGUGGAGUCCUGAAGGUUUAGGUAGCUUCAAUUUGAGAAACAGAUGGUUAGAAUUUGAGUAAUGGUGGAUGGAAGGUAAGGCAAAGGGAGAAAAAGAGGAGAAGAAAGAGAGGUGUGGUUCGUGAAAGAAUAUGAGAGUGCAAAGUUUUUACAAAAGUUUAUUUUUGUGCAUUUAGCCUUGCCCAAAGACUAGCUGCCACGUGUACUCCACUAAAAUUUUUUUUUUCAAGGCAUUACACCAACGAACUUUAUAAAAUAAGUGU